rnacentral:rRNA from 1 species
GCAAGUCGAGCGAGAAAGCACUUCGGUGCGAGUACAGCGGCGGACGGGUGAGUAACGCGUAGGAAUCUACCUGGUAGUGGGGGACAACUUGUGGAAACGCAAGCUAAUACCGCAUACGCCCUAAGGGGGAAAGCGGGGGACCUUCGGGCCUCGCGCUAUUGGAUGAGCCUGCGUCGGAUUAGCUAGUUGGUGGGGUAAAAGCUCACCAAGGCGACGAUCCGUAGCUGGUCUGAGAGGAUGAUC